rnacentral:rRNA from 1 species
AGCGUAACAGCUCACUCAUUAAGAGAUCUUGCGCCGCAGAUAAUCGGGGCUAAGUAUGGUACCGAAGGUGAGGAUGUAUAUAUUUUUCGAAAUUUAUGCGUGGUAGGAGAGUAUUCCUGUCUGCGUUGAAGCCAAAGGGGUAACCCAUGGUGGAGCGUCAGGAAGUAAGAAUGUUGGCACAAGUAACCGCAAUGCGGGUGAGAUUCCCGCACGCCGAAAAGACUAAGGUUUCCUUGGCAAUGAUAAUCAGCCAAGGGUUAGUCGGGCCUAAGCGUAUGGCGAAAGCCGGACGCGAUGGACAGACGGUUAAUAUUCCGUCACUUGAUAUAAAUGCGAUGGGAGGACGGAGUGCAGUAUGCUUAGCGUAUUAUUGGAUUUACGUUCAUUACAUAGGGGUAGGUUUUUGGAAAAUCCGGGACCUGGCUUAGAUGCCGAUAUCCGAGUGUUGUGAAGAUUUCAGAUCUUCGGGUCUGGAGAAUUGGGCAAAGCGCGCUUCCUAGAAAAGUCUCUAAGCUUAAUUUAUAUUAAUCCGUACCGAAAACCGACACAGGUAGUCAGGUCGAGAAGACCAAGGCGAAUGAGUGAUUCUUUCUCAAGGAACUCGGCAAAAAAGCAGCCGUAAGUUAGCAAUAAGGCUUGCCUACCCCUUCGGGGGAGGCCGCAGCGAAAGUAUCCCUGGCGACUGUUUAUUAAAAACACAGCUCCCUGCGAACUCGUAAGAGGAUGUAUAGGGGGUGACGCCUGACCAAUGCCCGAAGGUCAAGUACGGAGGGUCCUAACUUUGUUAGGGCUAGACUGUAUAAGCCCGGGUGAAUGUCGGCCGUAACUAUAACGGUCCUAAGGUAGCGAAAUUCCUUGUCUGGUAAGUUCAGACGUGCACGAAUGGCGUAACGACUGGGGAACUGUCUCGAGAAAGAGCUCGGUGAAAAUGCAAUACCGGUGAAGACGCCGGUUACCUGCAGCUAGACGAAAAGACCCCGGGAGCUUUACUAUAGCUUGAUAUUGGGGCUAUUUUUCAAAUGCGUAGCAUAGAUGGGAGACUUUGAUGUUUUGGUUUUGGCUAAAACGGAGUCGUCAGUGAAAUACCAUUCUUUUGCGAAAUAGUUUCUAACCCAAAUGGUAAAAACAUUUUGGAACAGUAUCUGGUAGGUAGUUUGAGUGGGGCGCUCUCCUCCCAAAAAGUAACGGAGGAGUUUAUUAAGGUUCUCUAGGCGCGAAUGGAAACCGUGCCGAUAGUGUAAUGGCAAAAGAGAGCUUGACUGCAAGGGGGGUAUCCCGAGCAGGUGCGAAAGCAGAACAUAGUGAACCGACGGUCCGUGUUAGAUGCGGCCGGAGAUCAUCAGAUAAAAGCUACCCCGGGGAUAACAGGCUGGUUCCGCCUAAGCGUCCAGAGCGACGGCGGAGUUCGGCACCUCGAUGUCGGCUCGACUUAUCCUGGAGGUGAAGAAGCUUCCAAGGGUUUGGCUGUUCGCCAAUUAAAAAGUCACGCGAGCUGGGUUAAGACCGUCGUAAGACAGGUCGGUCUCCUAUCUGCUGCAGGCGUUGAUUCUUGAGAAGAUCUGCUUCUAGUACGAGAGGACCGAAGUGGACUGACCUCUGGUCUACCUGCUGUCGUGCCAACGGCAUCGCAGGGUAGCUAAGUCGGGAAUGGAUAACCUCUGAAAGCAUCUAAGAGGGAAGCCAACUUCAAGAUUAGGAAUCGUUGAGACCCCUAGAAGAUUACUAGGUUGAUAGGCUCUAGGUGUAAGCAUGGAGACAUGUUUAGCCGAGGAGUACUAAUUUGUCGAUCCUAUUAGAAAG